GAUGAACGCUGGCGGCGUGCCUAAUACAUGCAAGUCGAGCGAACAGACGAGGAGCUUGCUCCUCUGAUGUUAGCGGCGGACGGGUGAGUAACACGUGGAUAACCUACCUAUAAGACUGGGAUAACUUCGGGAAACCGGAGCUAAUACCGGAUAACAUGUUGAACCGCAUGGUUCAACAGUGAAAGACGGUCUUGCUGUCACUUAUAGAUGGAUCCGCGCCGCAUUAGCUAGUUGGUAAGGUAACGGCUUACCAAGGCAACGAUGCGUAGCCGACCUGAGAGGGUGAUCGGCCACACUGGAACUGAGACACGGUCCAGACUCCUACGGGAGGCAGCAGUAGGGAAUCUUCCGCAAUGGGCGAAAGCCUGACGGAGCAACGCCGCGUGAGUGAAGAAGGUCUUCGGAUCGUAAAACUCUGUUAUUAGGGAGGAACAAAUGUGUAAGUAACUAUGCACGUCUUGACGGUACCUAAUCAGAAAGCCACGGCUAACUACGUG
rnacentral:rRNA from 1 species